rnacentral:rRNA from 1 species
UCGGGAGGCAGCAGUGGGGAAUAUUGCACAAUGGGCGCAAGCCUGAUGCAGCCAUGCCGCGUGUAUGAAGAAGGCCUUCGGGUUGUAAAGUACUUUCAGUCGUGAGGAAGGUGUUAAGGUUAAUAACCUUAGCAAUUGACGUUAGCGACAGAAGAAGCACCGGCUAACUCCGUGCCAGCAGCCGCGGUAAUACGGAGGGUGCGAGCGUUAAUCGGAAUUACUGGGCGUAAAGGGCACGCAGGCGGUUAAUUAAGUUGGAUGUGAAAUCCCCGGGCUUAACCUGGGAAUGGCAUUCAAGCUGGUUAGCUAGAGUCUUGUAGAGGGGGUAGAAUUCCAUGUGUAGCGGUGAAAUGCGUAGAGAUGUGGAGGAAUACCGGUGGCGAAGGCGGCCCCUGGACAAAGACUGACGCUCAUGUGCGAAAGCGUGGGGAGCGAAACAGGGAUUAGAUACC